UACGUAGGGCGCAAGCGUUGUCCGGAAUUAUUGGGCGUAAAGAGCUCGUAGGCGGUUUGUUGCGUCGGCUGUGAAAUCCCGAGGCUCAACCUCGGGUCUGCAGUCGAUACGAGCAAACUAGAGUGUUGCAGGGGAGACUGGAAUUCCUGGUGUAGCGGUGAAAUGCGCAGAUAUCAGGAGGAACACCGGUGGCGAAGGCGGGUCUCUGGGAAGGUACCGAGCUGAGGAGCGAAAGCGUGGGGAGCGAACAG
rnacentral:rRNA from 1 species